UAGAUUGAAGCCAGUCGUAGGGUGUUUAGCUGUUAACUAAAGUUUCGUAGGUUUGAUUCCUACCAAUCUAG
rnacentral:tRNA from 1 species